AUUGAACGCUGGCGGCAGGCCUAACACAUGCAAGUCGAACGAGUGGCGGACGGGUGAGUAAUGUCUGGGAAACUGCCUGAUGGAGGGGGAUAACUACUGGAAACGGUAGCUAAUACCGCAUACCCUAGGAUGUGCCCAGAUGGGAGUAGCUAGUAGUGGGGGUAACGGCUCACCUAGGCGACGAUCCCUAGCUGGUCUGAGAUGAUGACCAGCCACACUGGAACUGAUACACGGUCCAGACUCCUACGGGAGGCAGCAGUGGGGAAGAUUGUACAAUGGGCGCAAGCCUGAUGCAGCCAUGACGCGUGUAUGAAGAAGGCCUUCGGGUUGUAAAGUACUUUCAGCGGGGAGGCGUUACCCGCAGAAGAAGCACCGGCUAACUCCGUGCCAGCAGGCGCGGUAAUAC
rnacentral:rRNA from 1 species